rnacentral:rRNA from 1 species
CAAUAGCGUAUAUCAAAGUUGUUGCAGUUAAAAAGCUCGUAGUUGGAUUUCUGAUCGAGACAUCAGGUCGGGUCCGAGAGGAUCAUGUACUUUGAUUUUGUUUUGAUCAUCCUUGGGGAGAGCAUUUCUGGCAUUCAGUUGUCGGGAUUGGGAUCCUCAUCGUUUACUGUGAAAAAAUUAGAGUGUUCAAAGCAGGCCUCGGCCUCUGAAUACAUUAGCAUGGAAUAAUAAGAUAGGACUUUGGUGGUCUAUUUUGUUGGUUUGCACGCCAAAGUAAUGAUUAAUAGGGAUAGUUGGGGGUAUUCGUAUUCAAUUGUCAGAGGUGAAAUUCUUGGAUUUAUGGAAGACGAACUACUGCGAAAGCAUUUACCAAGGAUGUUUUCAUUAA